GAAUAACUCCGGGAAACCGGGGCUAAUGCCGGAUAACAUGUUGAACCGCAUGGUUCUACAGUGAAAGACGGUCUUGCUGUCACUUAUAGAUGGACCCGCGCCGUAUUAGCUAGUUGGUGGGGUAACGGCCUACCAAGGCGACGAUACGUAGCCGACCUGAGAGGGUGAUCGGCCACACUGGAACUGAGACACGGUCCAGACUCCUACGGGAGGCAGCAGUAGGGAAUCUUCCGCAAUGGGCGAAAGCCUGACGGAGCAACGCCGCGUGAGUGAUGAAGGUCUUCGGAUCGUAAAGCUCUGUUGUUAGGGAAGAACAAAUGUGUAAGUAACUGUGCACAUCUUGACGGUACCUAACCAGAAAGCCACGGCUAACUACGUGCCAGCAGCCGCGGUAAUACGUAGGUGGCAAGCGUUAUCCGGAAUUAUUGGGCGUAAAGCGCGCGUAGGCGGUUUUUUAAGUCUGAUGUGAAAGCCCACGGCUCAACCGUGGAGGGUCAUUGGAAACUGGAAAACUUGAGUGCAGAAGAGGAAAGUGGAAUUCCAUGUGUAGCGGUGAAAUGCGCAGAGAUAUGGAGGAACACCAGUGGCGAAGGCGGCUUUCUGGUCUGCAACUGACGCUGAUGUGCGAAAGCGUGGGGAUCAAACAGGAUUAGAUACCCUGGUAGUCCACGCCGUAAACGAUGAGUGCUAAGUGUUAGGGGGUUUCCGCCCCUUAGUGCUGCAGCUAACGCAUUAAGCACUCCGCCUGGGGAGUACGGUCGCAAGACUGAAACUCAAAGGAAUUGACGGGGACCCGCACAAGCGGUGGAGCAUGUGGUUUAAUUCGAAGCAACGCGAAGAACCUUACCAAAUCUUGACAUCCUUUGACCGCUCUAGAGAUAGAGUUUUCCUCUUCGGAGGACAAAGUGACAGGUGGUGCAUGGUUGUCGUCAGCUCGUGUCGUGAGAUGUUGGGUUAAGUCCCGCAACGAGCGCAACCCUUGAACUUAGUUGCCAUCAU
rnacentral:rRNA from 1 species